GAGGGAGAAAGUGGGGGAUCUUCGGACCUCACGCUAUCAGAUGAGCCUAGGUCGGAUUAGCUAGUUGGUGGGGUAAAGGCCUACCAAGGCGACGAUCCGUAACUGGUCUGAGAGGAUGAUCAGUCACACUGGAACUGAGACACGGUCCAGACUCCUACGGGAGGCAGCAGUGGGGAAUAUUGGACAAUGGGCGAAAGCCUGAUCCAGCCAUGCCGCGUGUGUGAAGAAGG
rnacentral:rRNA from 1 species